AUUAGAUACCCUAUUAUUUUUAUUGUAAAAAUAAAUACAAAUUAGAGUAUUAUUAGUUAUGAUCUUUAAACUUAAAGAAUUUGGCGGUAUUAUAGUCUAUUUAGAGGAAUCUGUUAAGUGAUUGAUAAUCCGCGUUGAACCUUACUUAUAUUAAUUCUUGUAUACCGCUGUUUAGAAUAUAUUUUUAGGUAAUUUUCUUAAUUGUAUUAUUAAUUAAAAUUUCAAGUCAAGGUGCAGUUAUAUAUAUGUUGAUUAAUGGAUUACAAUAAAUUUUAUUUAAUUAUGAAUUGUUAUUGAAAUAUAAUUUUGAAGGUGGAUUUAAUUGUAAUUUUAUGAAGAUUGUUAUAAUGAUUAAAGCUCUAUAAUAUGUACACAUCGCCCG
rnacentral:rRNA from 1 species